ensembl:lncRNA
UUGUGUAUAGUGAAUAGUAGGUGUGUUGUGUAUAGUGAAUAGUAGGUGUGUUGUGUAUUGUAGGUGCGUUGUGUAUAGUGAAUAGUAGGUGUGUUGUGUGUACUAGGUGUGUUGUGUAUAGUGAAUAGUAGGUGUGUUGUGUAUUGUAGGUGUGUUGUGUAUAGUGAAUAGUAGGUGUGUUGUGUAUUGUAGGUGCGUUGUGUAUAGUGAAUAGUAGGUGUGUUGUGUGUACUAGGUGUGUUGUGUAUAGUGUAUAGUAGGUGUGUUGUGUAUAGUGAAUAGUAGGUGUGUUGUGUAUAGUGUAUAGUAGGUGUGUUGUGCAUAGUAGGUGUGUUGUGUAUAGUGAAUAGUAGGUGUGUUGUGUAUAGUGAAUAGUAGGUGUGUUGUGUAUAGUAGGUGUGUUGUGUAUAGUGAAUAGUAGGUGUGUUGUGUAUAGUAGGUGUGUUGUGUAUAGUGAAUAGUAGGUGUGUUGUGUAUA